UGUCUAUACAGGUCUGGAAAAAAAUUAAGAGACCACUGCAAAAUGAUCAGUUUCUCUGGUUUUACUAUUUAUACAUAUGUUUGGGUAAAAUGAACAUUUUUGUUUUAUUCUAUAAACUACUGACAACAUUUCUCACGAAUUCCAAAUAAAAAUAUUGUCAUUUAGGGAAAUAACAAAAAAGAUGCAGUGUUGUCCGACCUCGAAUAAUGCAAAGACACACACACACACACAGUCCAGACCGACAUACACACACAGACCAUACAGACACACAGACCAUACAGACAUUACAGACACACAGACAUUACAGACACACAGACAUUACAGACACACACAGACCAUACAGACCAUACAGACACACACAGUCCAGACCGACAUACACACACAGACCACACAGACACACACAGACCAUACAGACCAUACAGACACACACAGACCAUACAGACACACACAGCCCAGACCGACAUACACACAACACACACAGACCAUACAGACCAUACAGACACACACAACCGACAUACACACACAGACCAUACAGACACACACAGACCAUACAGACCAUACAGACACACACAGUCCAGACCGACAUACACACACAGACCAUACAGAUACACACAGACCAUACAGACACACACAGCCCAGACCGACAUACACACACAGACCAUACAGACACACACAGACCACACAGACCAUACAGACACACACAGACCAUACAGACCAUACAGACACACACAGUCCAGACCGACAUACACACACAGACCAUACAGAUACACACAGACCAUACAGACACACACAGACCAUACAGACACACACAGACCACACAGACCAUACAGACACACACAGACCAUACAGACACACACAGACCAUACAGACACACACAGUCCAGACCGACAUACAGACCAUACAGAUACACACAGACCAUACAGACACACACAGACCAUACAGACACACACAGACCAUACAGACCAUACAGACACACAGACCAUACAGACACACACAGACCAUACAGACCAUACAGACACACACAGUCCAGACCGACAUACACACACAGACCAUACAGACACACACAGACCAUACAGACACACACAGACCAUACAGACACACACAGACCAUACAGACACACACAGACCAUACAGACCAUACAGACACACACAGACCAUACAGACACACAGACCAUACAGACACACACAGACCAUACAGACACACACAGUCCAGACCGACAUACACACACAGACCAUACAGACACACACAGACCAUACAGACACACACAGCCCAGACCGACAUACAGACACACACAGACCAUACAGACACACGCAGCCCAGACAGUCAAUAAACAACC
rnacentral:lncRNA from 1 species